GCUUUCGUGGUGUAGUGGUUAGCACACUUAGCACAUAUUCGAGAGGUCCAUGGUUCGAGUCCUGGCGAGCGCA
rnacentral:tRNA from 1 species